ACAGGUAAGGUUAUAACAUAUCACUAAGCCUGGUACUUAAUGAUGUGACUCUCUGAUCCUGUUUGUGCCCUGCCCUCAAGAAGCAUUGUGACAUCACUGGGCUAAGCAACAAGGUUACUGGGAUCUCAAUGUAGAUGUUAUGUCCAGACAGAGGCUGCUGUGAGCUGAAUCGUCUGCUUCCCAAAAUUCCUAUGUUGACACCUUAACCCCCAGCACCUAAGAAUGUGACUAUAUUUGGAGAUAGCAUCAUCACAGAGUCUCAGGGAUGUCUUUAUCAGCAGUAUGAAAAUGAACCAAUUCAUCCCACUUCACUGUUUGAAGAAAAACUGCUGGCUCUAUGGGGUCUUCAAUUUACUGAAUGAUUCCUAGAUGCCUGGCCCUAAUUCACUCAAGAGUCAAGAAAGGUGCCACCUUAUGGUGCUCACUGGGCGGUUGUGGAUGUCUAACCUCAGUGCUAGUCACACAGAACCUGAAGCCAGGCUGGCUGCUCCUGUAAAUGGCAUGGAAUCCCAGGGAAUAUCCUGCAUUCUCAGUGUCCAGCUGUCUGAUGCCACAGUUGUUUAUGAUGAUCGAGGACAACUACGUUUUUCUGAGGAGACUUACCACCUCAUGGCUGAGGCAUUCACAAAAAAUAGCUCACGUUAUGUUUUGCUUAUUUGCAAGUCAACAAGAUGAGGUCCCUGAGGAUGUCUAACUGAUUCUGUCCACUCGGGAAUGUUUCGGACUUGGUCUUCCUUUUAAUUUACUUUAUAAAUCAUUUUGUAAUUUUUAUCUCCUACUCAUUCUGUAACAGGUAACACAACUGACCAGAAGAAAAACAGCCUAGAUCCUGAGCAUUCAGCCUGUGUCUUCACACAACAAACACCACCUGAGUCCCAUCAAAGCCUGUGUUGUUUCCCAACAUCCACCAUUGAGACAUAUUCCAGAGCAGCCUCUCAAAAUCACCUAAACAAGAUGGAACAAGAAGGUGGAGCCAGACGUACAGGGCGGAACAUGAAAGUGGACCAGGAGCGUGACCGCUGAAGCACAGCACCACAGGAAGAGGUUUAGGCCUCUGGAUGACUGCGGGCGGGCCUGACUCAUGUCAGGCCUUCCACAAGAAGUGGUGGAGCAGAGUCUUCCCCAACUCUCCCAGGGAAAGGGAGACUCCCUUUGCCGGUCUGCUAAGUAACCGGUGCCUUCCCAGGCACUGGCGUUACCGCUAGACCAAGGAGCCCUCUAGUGGCCAUGUCUGGGCAUAACUGAGGGCUCACACUCUUCUGGUCACUUAUCACCCUUCAGCUCCUAUCUCUGUAUGGCCUGGUCUUUCCUAGGUUAUAAUUGUAGAACGGACAUUAUUAUAAUAUUGGAAUAAAGAGUAAUGCUACAAAC
rnacentral:lncRNA from 1 species